UACGUAGGGUCCGAGCGUUGUCCGGAGUUACUGGGCGUAAAGCGCGCGCAGGCGGCGGUGCUGGCCCGGCGUGAAAGCCCCCGGCUCAACCGGGGAGGGUCGUCGGGGACCGCACCGCUUGAGGGCGGUAGGGGCUGGUGGAAUGCCUGGUGUAGUGGUGAAAUGCGUAGAGAUCAGGCGGAACACCCGUGGCGAAGGCGGCCAGCUGGGCCGUCCCUGACGCUGAGGCGCGAAAGCUAGGGGAGCAAACGGG
rnacentral:rRNA from 1 species